CGACAAGACCCGCGGGAAGGACUAACGGGAAAGUUAACUCAUUCAUAUUUUGAGAUUGUUCGGUUUGGUGCCCGCGUCUGUGGUUCAGUAAGUGAAUGUCGGAGCCUUAAUGGGACAGGAGCCUGGUGCACCUUCGCGCUGUCAUGUUCCUUCCAUGCUGGCGGCGUGUUUGUUGCAACG